rnacentral:misc_RNA from 1 species
AAUUUCUCAAGCUUGGAUGGCUUUUUUGUCUGUCCUUAGCCUUGGUUGUUGGGCUUUGCCGUGUCCUUUGUUGGGACAGCUGGCCUUAAAAGCAUUAGCUGAUCCUCGUGUGGCACUGGUUCUACUCAGCGUGAUAACAAGUCUGAUUGCUGAGGACAUCUUUUGGGAUGGCCAGUUCCCAUUUGGGUUGCUUCCAAACUUGGUUUUGCAGACUCUUCAAUCUGUGUUCCACUUUUCAG